GCGGAUGUGGUGAAAUUGGUAUACACGCCAGACUUAGGAUCUGGUGGCGCAAGCCGUGGGGGUUCGAUUCCCUUCAUCCGCA
rnacentral:tRNA from 1 species